rnacentral:rRNA from 1 species
AGUAACACGUAGGUGACCUACCCCAAAGAGGGGGAUAACGGCUCGAAAGGGCUGCUAAUACCCCAUGUGAUUAGCGAUUCAUUUCGUUAAUUAAAGCUUCCGCAAGGAGUGUGCUUUGGGAGGGGCCUGCGGCGGAUUAGAUUGUUGGUGGGGUAAUGGCCUACCAAGUCGAUGAUCCGUAGCUAGUCUGAGAGGACGAUUAGCCACACUGGCACUGACACACGGGCCAG